rnacentral:rRNA from 1 species
GUUAGGAAUAUUGCGCAAUGGAGGCAACUCUGACGCAGCCAUGCCGCGUGCAGGAAGAAGGCGCUACGCGUUGUAAACUGCUUUUAACCGGGAAGAAACCCCAGGACGUGUCCUGGGUUGACGGUACCGGAGGAAUAAGCACCGGCUAACUUCGUGCCAGCAGCCGCGGUAAUACGAAGGGUGCAAGCGUUAAUCGGAAUUACUGGGCGUAAAGCGCGCGUAGGUGGUUUUGUAAGUUGGAGGUGAAAUCCCCGGGCUCAACCUGGGAACUGCCUCCAAAACUGCAUGACUAGAGUACGGUAGAGGGUAGUGGAAUUUCCUGUGUAGCGGUGAAAUGCGUAGAUAUAGGAAGGAACACCAGUGGCGAAGGCGACUACCUGGACUGAUACUGACACUGAGGUGCGAAAGCGUGGGGAGCAAACAGGAUUAGAAACCCGGGUAGUCC